CCUACGGUGUGCAGCAGUGGGGAAUAUUGCACAAUGGGGGAAACCCUGAUGCAGCGACGCAGCGUGAGCGAUGAAGUAUUUCGGUAUGUAACGCUCUAUCAGCAGGGAAGACAAUGACGGUACCUGACUAAGAAGACCCGGCUAACUCCGUGACAGCAGCCGCGGUAUUACGUAGUGGGCAAGCGUUCUCCGGAUUUACUGGGUGUAAAGUGAGCGUAGACGGUCCUGCAAGCCAGAUGUGAAAGCCCGGGGCGCAAACUCGGGACUGCAUUUGGAACUGUAAGGCUAGAGUGUCGGAGAGGCAAGCGGAAUUCCUAGUGUAGCGGUGAAAUGCGUAGAUAUUAGGAGGAACACCAGUGGCGAAGGCGGCCUGCUGGACGAUUACUGACGUUGAGGCUCGAAAGCGUGGGGAGCAAACAGGAUUAGAUACCCGUGUAGUC
rnacentral:rRNA from 1 species